UUCCAUCUGGAAGAAUCUGGAGGACAGGUGCUGCAUGGCUGUCGUCAGCUCGUGUCGUGAGAUGUUGGGUUAAGUCCCGCAACGAGCGCAACCCUUGCCUUUAGUUGCCAGCAGUUCGGCUGGGCACUCUAAAGGGACUGCCGGUGUUAAACCGGAGGAAGGUGGGGAUGACGUCAAGUCCUCAUGGCCUUUAUGACCAGGGCUACACACGUACUACAAUGGCCGAUACAAAGGGCAGCGACACUGCGAGGUGAAGCCAAUCCCGUAAAAUCGGUCUCAGUCCGGAUUGGAGUCUGCAACUCGACUCCAUGAAGUUGGAAUCGCUAGUAAUCGUGGAUCAGCAUGCCACGGUGAAUACGUUCCCGGGCCUU
rnacentral:rRNA from 1 species